rnacentral:rRNA from 1 species
UAUCGGGCAGACUACCAUGCAGUCGAGGGGCAACAGGUGUAGCAAUACAUGCUGGCGACCGGCGCACGGGUGAGUAACGCGUAUGCAACCUACCCAUAACAAGGGGAUAGCUUCCGGAAACGGGAAUUAAUACCCUAUAGCACCUAUAUACCGCAUGGUAUUAAGGUUAAAACUACGGUGGUUAUGGAUGGGCAUGCGUGCCAUUAGUUAGUUGGCGGGGUAACGGCCCACCAAGACUGUGAUGGCUAGGGGGUCUAAAAGGAUGAUCCCCCACACUGGUACUGAGACACGGACCAGACUCCUACGGGAGGCAGCAGUGAGGAAUAUUGGUCAAUGGGCGAGAGCCUGAACCAGCCAUGCCGCGUGCAGGAAGACGGCCCUAUGGGUUGUAAACUGCUUUUGUUUGGGAAUAAAAGGCGCUACGUGUAGUGCACUGAAGGUACCAGAUGAAUAAGCAUCGGCUAACUCCGUGCCAGCAGCCGCGGUAAUACGGAGGAUGCGAGCGUUAUCCGGAUUUAUUAGGUUUAAAGGGUGUGUAGGCGGAAGACUAAGUCAGUGGUGAAAUCCCUCAGCUUAACUGGGGAACUGCCAUAGAUACUGGUUUUCUUGAGUACAGUUGAAGUAGGCGGAAUGUGUAAUGUAGCGGUGAAAUGCUUAGAUAUUACACAGAACACCGAUUGCGAAGGCAGCUUGCUAAGCUGUUACUGACGCUGAUGCACGAAAGCGUGGGGAGCGAACAGGAUUAGAUACCCUGGUAGUCCACGCCGUAAACGAUGAUUACUCGUUGUUGGCGAUAUAUAGUCAGCGACUGAGCGAAAGCAUUAAGUAAUCCACCUGGGGAGUACGGCGGCAACGCUGAAACUCAAAGGAAUUGACGG